GAAAAGUACUUGGAUUCUUUGAGUUUCUCGAUGAUUAUUUUCUUGAUCUCACUCGCUAGCAUAAGUAUCAACUCAUUCUGAAUUUUGUGUCCAAGAUAAUGAUAAUGAAUUUCUUUAUUUUGAAUUCGACGAAUAUGCUCUUGCAUUAUAGGAUCAAACUCAGCAAUCAUUUGAAUUAAGCUUAAGAAGAUACCAUUAUUUUCUUGGUAUAUCUUCUCAUUAUCUCCACGAAACGCCAAAUUAUUUUC
rnacentral:lncRNA from 1 species